GAUGAAGAACGUAGCGAAAUGCGAUAGGUAAUGUGAAUUGCAGAAUUCAGUGAAUCAUCGAAUCUUUGAACGCACAUUGCGCCGUUUGGUAGUCCUUAGGGCAUGCCUGUUCGAGCGUCACUACACACCUUAUCACAAUAUUUGUGGUCUUGGCAGGAGUGAAUUGCUGGUCUAUGGAAGUAUUCCAGCAGUACACAAUGCUAAAAAAUAUGGGAAGGUUACCAGAUAUGAACAACAGACUUUGUAAAUGGUUGUAGGACCUAGAUCAGUCACAAGUCGUGUCUGGUCCCUUACCUUAAGGACCCCCAUCCUAGAUGAACUAUGGGUUGACCUCGGAUCAGGUAGGAAUACCCGCUGAACUUAAGCAUAUCAAUAAGCGGAGGA
rnacentral:misc_RNA from 1 species